GCGAGCCCUUAGGGACCAGCAACCGACCCCUCCUGGGAGGUGCAGUUUACUGCGGGAAGCGGGGCCGGCGACUCGCCUAGCGCCAGACAUCCUGGGGACUGUAGCUCGCCCGGGAUCAACUGGCUGCUGUAAACUGUAGGGGGGAGCAAGCGUGGAAGUGAGAAGACCAUCAAGAGGCAGUUGCGGUUGUCCAGGAUUGGCCUCCAAUGUCUCACGAGCUUCAUAGACAAAGAGCCUGAUUUUGAAUUAAGGCUCAAGAGGAGAGUGGUGUUGGCCCCAGCCUCAUAUGUCAGUUGUUCUGUCAUCCUCCACUGUCUCAUAUCAUCUCUCUUUCUCCUACAGUAGUUGUCUUCAAACUUUUUUGCUCACAUACUCCCCAAAAGAAUUUUGAAAAAUUGUAUCUCUUUGUACAUUUUUAGGUUGACAUUAAAAUUUUU